AUUUAGAAUUUAAAAAUGUUAUAUCUUUUUAUGUUGAUUAUAUUAGCAUAUAUUAAAUUUAGCAUACACAUAUUUGUUUAUUAUGUUUUACACAUACAAAAAGGUAAUUAUAAUUUUAUUUUAAGUUGUUCUUUUAUGUUAAAAACAUUGGAAUAAUUAUUUUGUUUUGUCCUAUUUGGUUUUUUUUUUUAACAAAUACAAAAUAUUUAUUAAUUAUAUGAAAGUAAAUUAAUAUAAAAAAUAUGUACUGAAAAAAGAAAGGAAAUUAUUAUUAUUUUUUUUUUUUAGAAAAUAUUAUUUUUGUAUUAUUUACCAUCUAAUAAUAAUGAAAACUAAAAAUGUGUUCGCUUUUAAUGUUUUACUUUUUACAACUUUGAUUAUUAUCUUUUUAAAUAAUUGCUUUUUUAUACUUUUAUAUAACAAAAAAAAUGAAGGCAGAGGUUCGGAAAAUAAAAUUUAUAGAGCUAAUAGAUGUUUGUGCUUUAACAAUUCUUAUUCUCAUAAAUAUAAAUUGGGAAAAAUUUACAAAAUAGAAAAGGAGUUAUCAUUAAGGCUUAUAAGUGAUGCAUGUUAUGGUAAUUUAUCUAAUAUAAAGUUCAAUAUAAUAAAAAUAAAAAUUAUAGACGAGUUCCAUGUAAACAAUAUGAUUGUUGAGAAAGAUAAAAUAAAUUUAAUAGCAAACAGAAUACAUGAACGCAUAAAUGAUUUUCUUAAAGCGAAUCUAUCUAAGAAAAACAUGCGUACAAUUUUUAAAUAUGAAUGCCAUUUAGUAAAAAAGUAUUUACAACACUUAAACAAUAUUGAGACGUCUGAUAAAGAAGCAAGGCUAAAUUAUUAUAAUACAGCAAAAAAUAAUAUUUUUUCUGAAUUGAAAUGUAAAACACUAUUAAAUGAAAAAAUUAUUAAAAACAUGGCAAGAAGAAUAGUUAGUUUAUUAGCUGAUAUAGCAUUUGAGAAUUUGACUGUACACCAGGAAUUGAUAAAAGGUCAUAAACAAAUGAAAAGUAGUAUAAUAAAUCAAGGCGGAAUAAAAGCACAAGCAAAAAAGAAAACAAAAUAUGAGAAAAAAGAUAAAACAAAAGAUAAAACAUAUGAUAAGACAAAAGAUGAAAUAUAUGAUGAAACAUAUGAUAGGACAAAAGAUGAAACAAAAGAUGAAGUAAAAGAUGAAACAUAUGAUAAGUCAAAAGAUGAAAUAUAUGAUGAGACAGAUGAUGAGACAGAUGAUGAGACACCAUAUGAAACAGAAGAUGAAUCAGAAGAUGAAGCAGAAGUUGAAACAA
rnacentral:lncRNA from 1 species